rnacentral:tRNA from 1 species
GCCCCCGUAGCUCAGCGGAUAGAGCACUGGCCUCCGGAGCCAGUGGCACAGGUUCGAGUCCUGUCGGGGGUA